ACUGCACCUACCAUCAAAGCCUCUAAUUUCAAGCUCACGCCACUCUUGAACCAGCGCGCAGCAGCAACACAUUAGAUGAGUUAAGAAAUCAUCACACACGCCUGCCUGCGAAACAGGAACUAGAUAAAUUUAUAAGCUAAUCAAGUGUAGCAGCAACAACCGCAGAAGAGGGAGUAUGCCAUUAGAUCAUUGAUCGCGCGCUCGCUGGCUGUAUCGAUCUCAAAAUGCAAACAUGUACAAUGUCAUGUUAACAACUAGCACGUUCGUGAAAGAUGAUUCCAAUACCGUGAAUUGACAUGCAUGCAUGCUAUGCGCUCACAUAUUUUCUCUUGU